rnacentral:rRNA from 1 species
UACGUAGGGGGCAAGCGUUGUCCGGAAUCAUUGGGCGUAAAGCGCACGUAGGCGGCCCGAUAAGUCCGUUGUGAAAGUCAGAGGCUCAACCUCUGGAGGCCAAUGGAUACUGUCGGGCUAGAGUCCGGAAGAGGCGAGUGGAAUUCCUGGUGUAGCGGUGGAAUGCGCAGAUAUCAGGAGGAACACCAAUGGCGAAGGCAGCUCGCUGGGACGGUACUGACGCUGAGGUGCGAAAGCGUGGGGAGCGAACAGG